GAAAUGCGAUAAGUAGUGUGAAUUGCAGAAUUCAGUGAAUCAUCGAAUCUUUGAACGCACAUUGCGCCCUUUGGUAUUCCUUAGGGCAUGCCUGUUCGAGCGUCAUUUGUAACCUCAAGCUCAGCUUGGUGUUGGGUGUCUGUCCCCGCCCCGCGCGGGGACUCGCCUCAAAAACAUUGGCGGCCGGUACGUUGGCUUCGAGCGCAGCAGAAACGCGAACUCGAGGCCCGACGGAUCGGCGACCAGAAGCCACUUCUUCCACAGCUUGACCUCGGAUCAGGUUGGGAUACCCGCUGAACUUAAGC
rnacentral:misc_RNA from 1 species